ACAUAGGACCUUAUUCAUGUUUGUAAGUAAAGCAAAAAGAUAGCAACUGGGCAAAACCAUGUUGCACUGUAGGUGGGACAGAUGUAACAUGUGCAGAGAGAUUUAGAUUUGGGUGGGGUUGAGGUGAGUUCAAACAAAUCUACAUAGCAGUGUAAAAAUAAAGCUGUCUUUGUAUUUGCUCCCCUUGCAUAGCAGCAUGGUUUGUUCCAGACACAAAGUUACAUGCUUUUUUGCUUUACUUACGAAAAUGAAUCACAGCCAUAGUACAAUAGACAUUUUGCUCAUUAUUUUGGUCAAGCAUUGCCGGUUACGUAUAGAAAGUAGCAUUAUUAUACUGGUGCACACUAUGUGAUACAUUGUUCGUACAGCCUUGAAACGAUAUAUCAUUAAGCGCAUUGGCUCGUGUGUACACAUGCUACAUCUAUAAGCUAAAUCUAUCGCAGAUAUAUCGCAUUGGCUUUGCUGCAGAGUAGAUGCAAUAUAUUUGAAAGACAUAGCUUUCCUGUCUGCGUGUGUGUACACAUGACUGACUGACCAAUAUGCUGCAACAGGAACCAGCUACCAUGACCUCACAACUGGGCAGCCGUAUUUAAAUGCCCAUCCCGUUCUGAUGUCUGUCCAGGCAUAUUGUGCGGCUGAUUAGUAAGUGUGUAUGCUUACCGAAAUCAGUCCCACGAUCGUUGUCUAUCAGCCACAUGUGUACCCCACAUUAGACUUCCUUGGUAUCUCUGGAAUCCCCCAAAAAUGAUUGAACUUUAUUACCAUAGUAUCUGAUCUGUCGCUCUCUCAGAAGGUAUAUAUCUAAUGCUUAAUACACAUUUAGCUAUAUGCAAUAGCGGGCGAAUCGCGUCAUUAGAUCCGCCCCUGUAUAAUUCGCCCGCUAUCGCCAGCCGCAGCCCUAUCGCCGGGACCCUGAAUUCACUAUAUUCAAUGUAUAACUGAUUCGCCCCUCCCGCAGGCGGAUUACGGCCAAUCGGCGAGUAGUGGGCGUACUGAAUUCGCCUUCCCGCCGAAAGCAGCCCUUUAUUAGGGCUUGUUUGCUGCACGUGCUCUGCAGCCAUUUUGUGAACCUGCAGAGAGGUGUGUGGAGGUGCAGAGCUAGCAAUUUGGUUGUUUGCUGUGGAUAUCGUUUGGACACCCCAGCAGGCUUUAUUCCAGGACAGUCAGGAGGAUUCCUGUUACCCCGGAGCAGAGCCAUUUUAGGAGCUUUUACUACAUUUGUAGGUAAGUACCACAUGUGUGUCUGGUGUUGCAUAGAUGUCAAGGGACAAUCAGACCCGAUCCGCCCCUUCCCCCACCCCCUCGGAUCUAUCCCUGCAUAGCAAUGAGGAGUGGGAGCCAACCCAGGAGGCGGAUGCGACCGACCAGGCAUCUAGUGACCAGCCGCGGUCGUCAAGGGCCCAUGAGAAGUCCAAGAAAAAGCCUAGUAAAAAGGCAAGAAGCCAGCCAGAGGAGCAGUCGGAGGAGGAAGCCUCUGGUGAAGAUGCAGGACAGAAAAAGCCGCGUGGACCCAGAUACACUGAGGCGGAAAACUGUACCCUAGUAGAUUGCGUCGACAGGUCCUACGACAUUUUGUAUGGACUAAGGGCACAGACCACAGCAGCUAAGGUAAAGCGGAACAUCUGGGAAUCCAUCGCCAGUCAAGUCACUGCAAUAUCUGGAAACCGCCGGAGCACCAAAAAUUGCUUGAAGCGGUACAGUGAUUGCCGCAGACAGACCAAGAAGAAGAUGGGGAUUCAGCGCCGACAUGAGACAGCUACGGGAGGUGGCCCGGCUCUCAAUCUGAAGUGGCUACCCUGGGAGGACGUUAUUAGAAGGCGCAUGAACCCUGCCAUGGUCGAAGGAGUUCGCGGAGGUGUGGACUCCAGCCGUCCUGCUGGCUUUCCCCAGGAGGAAGAACCGCCCAGAAGACGGAGGAAGGCGGGAGACCAGCCGUCCAAAAGGAGGUCUGAUGACAGACCUGCCCAGAGGACAUCACCUGCGCACAGGACAUCGCCAGCGCACGGACCGUCACCUGUGCAGCAGGCAUCGGCAGCAGCGCGCGGACCAUCAACUGCGCCGCAAGCAUCGCGAGCACACAGAUCGUCACCUGUGCGCCACAGUUCGUCAUCGCGCAGUUGGUCACCUGUGCACCAGACGACGUCAGCGCACAGACUAUCACCUGUGCGCCAGACACCGUCGGCGACCACACCACAAGAUGGGCGCCAAACUACAGCUCCUGCGCGCAGGUCAUCACCAGAUCGUCGUCUCUCCAGGAGCUCUGGGACUGUGACUGAAGAGCCUCAAGACACAACCCUUGUGGACCCAUCACCCGAUCUGUUUGAGUCCACAGGGUUAACAGACGAAACUUUUCUUGGGUUUGAGGACAGCCGUGCAGACGUAUCCAGCCAGACCCUUGAAAAGUCUUCCGAAACGAGGACAAGUGGAGCUCCUGGAGCAGCGGCAUCACAGGAUGGAGAAGUGGUGCCAGAAACCAGCAGCGGACUAGCUUCGGGGAUUGGUUCCUACUUCAGGCCGGAUCUCCUACAGGAGUCGUCAGAGGAUGACGAGGUGGAAGUGCAGGAGGCUCCAGUUACUACAUCCCUGCCUGCCCAAAUCCAAGUUGUGGCAGACAUCCAGGAAGGGCAGAAUCCCUCAACUGUUCAGAGGGUUCACACCCUGGCAUCAGAGAUUGGGACACGCCAGGAUACAUACACAAAUGUUGUGGGAAGCAGACUGGACAACAUUGAGAGGACAAUGGAGAAAAUGUCCAACAGUCUGCAUGAACUGCAGAAGACUCUUUCCGACAGCACGGCCACAAUACUACAGAUCAUAAUUCAAGAUCAUAGGGAGAAUAUGAACGUACUUAACAUUCUGUCCGAUUCCAUGGUCAAGCUUGUGGAAAACACCUCAUGUCUGGCAGAAAGCAAUAAGAACAUGUCGGAGAGUCAUCGACACUCCUCUUCCAGCCAACAGGUCAUCGCAACCACACUGCAGAUGAUCUAUGAAAAGCUCCCAGUACCAGCUCAUCAACACGCUGGUGAUCCACCAUAUCCGCCGUCGCAAGCCACAAGGACGCAUCGUACCCUUCCUCAAGUCCCAUCCCAGUACAGACAGUCACAGAUGUACCAGGGAUAUACAGGGAUGUACCCCACCCCCCAGAUGCCUCCACCACCGGCCGCACAAUCUUCAGCAGCAUGGGCACAGAGGGCCAGUCAACAUACUCCCCAGCCUCCCAGGACAUCCACGCCCUAUCAGGGAGAAGAAGAGGAUCCGGACAGACUUCCACCAUAAACCCGGUCGUAUUAUUUUAUUUUCUUUUAAAUGUUUUUCAUGUAUCCCUGUCUUCCCCUCCCAUUAGUUUGUUGUUUUUCUUACUAUUGUUUUUUCUUUGUUGGCCUUCCCCACCCGUGACCGGGUACUACCAAGGAGCUUUGUGUAGGCAUACAUGCGCGGGCAUGUAUGCGGGCGCGUGUGGUAACGGAUGAAAGCUCCUUGCGGCUACAUGUAUGAUGGGCCAAAGAGCUAUUCUGAUACCCCCUUUUUCUUCCAAAAAUCCUUUUUUGUAAUGAUGUACAGUAGGCUUUAAUUGUGUGAAUUUACUAUUCACUAGUCUGUGUUUUUGACUUAUUCAUAGGAUUGGUGAGGAGAAAUGAAGUGGACGGCAUAAGUUUGUGUUGUGCGUACCAAGAUAUCUAUAUACACAAGAAAAGAAUGUAAAGAAGAACAAACUACUUUUUUGUUUUAAUUAACUUUCAAACUUUAUUAAAAAAAUUUUUUCUUCAAUAAACUUUUAAAAAUAGAA